rnacentral:rRNA from 1 species
CUCAGUUCGGAUCGGAGUCUGCAACCCGACUCCGUGAAGCUGGAUUCGCUAGUAAUCGCGCAUCAGCCAUGGCGCGGUGAAUACGUUCCCGGGCCCUUGUACACACCGCCCGUCAAGCCAUGGGAGCCGGGGGUGCUUGAAGUGCGUCGCCGCAAGGCGCGCCCUAGAGCAAAACCGGUGACUGGGGCUAAGUCGUAACAAGGUAAC